CAAACUUUCCAGAGGAUGAGCCUGCGUCUGAUUAGUUAGUUGGCGGGGUAACGGCCCACCAAGACGACGAUCAGUAGCUGGUCUGAGAGGAUGAUCAGCCACAUUGGGACUGAGAUACGGCCCAGACUCCUACGGGAGGCAGCAGUGAGGAAUAUUGCUCAAUGGGGGAAACCCUGAAGCAGCAACGCCGCGUGAGGGAUGAAGGGGCUUCGCCUCGUAAACCUCUGUAGUUGGGGACAAAUGUGAGACUACUGUCUCAUUGAUGGUACCCAAACAGUAAGGAUCGGCUAACUACGUGCCAGCCGCCGCCGUAACAC
rnacentral:rRNA from 1 species